rnacentral:rRNA from 1 species
UACGUAGGGCGCAAGCGUUAUCCGGAAUUAUUGGGCGUAAAGAGCUCGUAGGCGGUCUGUCGCGUCGAAUGUGAAAACCCCGGGGCUCAACCCCGGGCCUGCAUUCGAUACGGGCAGACUAGAGUUCGGUAGGGGAGUCUGGAAUUCCUGGUGUAGCGGUGAAAUGCGCAGAUAUCAGGAGGAACACCGGUGGCGAAGGCGGGACUCUGGGCCGAUACUGACGCUGAGGAGCGAAAGCGUGGGGAGCAAACAGG